rnacentral:misc_RNA from 1 species
GGAAGGAUCAUUAACACAAUACAUCCACAUGUAUCAACCCUUUGUGAACCAAUUCCUGUCUCAGGAGAGCGAGGAGCGCGUGGCGUGGACUUUUUUAAAGUUCACUACACGGUCUCUUGGCGAUCCGUUUUUACAUACCCAUUUUUCAACCCUUAAGAUGUUCAGUCUAAACUUUAUACAUACGAAACGCUGUACAACUCUUAGCAACGGAUAUCUUGGUUCUCGUAACGAUGAAGAACGCAGCGAAAUGCGAUACGUAAUGCGAAUUGCAGAACUCAGUGAAUCAUCAAGUCUUUGAACGCAAUUUGCGCUCUCAUUUGCGUGAGAGCAUGCCUCUUUGAGUAUCUGUUUCCAAUCACUCAUCAGUCCUUGCGGAUUGAUGGAUACUGAGUGGUCUUGCUGCUGGCAACAGUGCAAGUCCCUUGAAGUAGCGUGAGCUCGUGUCUUUGCUUCACGGCAAAGAGCACUCACUGAGAAAGUGACGUGGGUAAACACCUUAACGUCUGGCUUUCGUUUGCAGGUGAGUUGUGCCGGAAUAGGGUUCGUCCUUAUUUUCGGCGUGAGCCUAGGAGCGGCCGGUGCGGUGUUCACUUUCGAGUGGGCGCUGUGGCGUCGUCGUUCACUAUACUACCAAACUUAGAUCUCAAAUGAGGUAAGAGGACCCGCUGAAUUUAAGCAUAUUAUUAAGCGGAGGAAAAGAAACUAACAAGGAUUCCCUAGUAAGGGCGACUGAAGCGGGAAUAGCUCAACUUGAAAAUCGGCUUUCCAAGCGGGAAGUCCGAGUUGUAGUCUAGAGAUGCAUUGUCAGCGUGUGGCCCGGGUAUAAAUCUUUUGGAACAAGGUGUCACAGAGGGUGAGAACCCCGUCUUGGACCCGGAGUCCGCCGCGUACGACAUGCACUCCAAGAGUCGAGUUGUUUGGGAUUGCAACUCUAAAUGGGUGGUAAAUUUCAUCUAAAGCUAAAUAUGGACGAGAGACCGAUAGCGAACAAGUACCGUGAGGGAAAGAUGAAAAGAACUUUGAAAAGAGAGUUAAAAAGUACUUGAAAUUGCUAAGAAGGAAGCGAUGGCAACCAGUCGUGCGCUGCAGUAAUUUUCUAUCGGUCGCUUGAGGCGUUGUUUCGAAGUUCCUCGUGGUCUUCGGGGCGGCGUUCCAGGGUGGUCGGUGGGUCCUUUACUGUGGCGCGAGUCAGCAUCAGUUUGCGAACUGCGGGAGAAGGCCUGGAGGAAGGUAGGGCGCUGGUUUCGGCCAGUUCCUGUUAUAGCCUCUGGGUGCUACCGUAGGGCAGACUGAGGACUCUAACCAGAGCGUCAACGCACGCCGCAAGGCGCGUCCCCGGUGCCCCAGUCUGCGUAGCUGUGUAGAGAACAAAGUUCUGUAUAUGGCCUACGCAGGCCGCUGGUGUCGGUCGGAUAGCUAGUGCGUUCAAGGAUGCUGACGAAAUGGUUUUCAUUGACCCGUCUUGAAACACGGACCAAGGAGUCUAACAUAUAUGCGAGUAUUUGGGUGGAAAACCCUGAUGCGUAAUGAAAGUGAAGGCAACCUUGUGUUGCUGAGGUUGGAAUCCUGGUCGGAGCGGCCGGGAGGCACCAUCGACCGAUCGUUCGCUUGCGGAAGAUUCGAGUAAAAGCAUAUCUGUUGGGACCCGAAAGAUGGUGAACUAUGCCUGAGCAGGGUGAAGCCAGGGGAAACUCUGGUGGAGGCUCGUAGCGAUACUGACGUGCAAAUCGUUCGUUUGACUUGGGUAUAGGGGCGAAAGACUAAUCGAACCAUCUAGUAGCUGGUUCCCUC